UACAGAGGUCUCGAGCGUUAGGCGGAAUCACUGGGCUUAAAGCGUGUGUAGGCGGCUCGUUAAGUACCUUGUGAAAUCCCAUGGCUCAACCAUGGAACUGCUUGGUAUACUGGCGAUCUUGUGCAACCUAGGGGCGAGCGGAACAGAUGGUGGAGCGGUGAAAUGCGUAGAUAUCAUCUGGAACGCCAAUGGUGAAAACAGCUCGCUGGGGGUUUGCAGACGCUGAGACACGAAAGCCAGGGGAGCGAACGGG
rnacentral:rRNA from 1 species